ACGGGGCCCGCACAAGCGGUGGAGCAUGUGGUUUAAUUCGAUGCAACGCGAAGAACCUUACCUGGUCUUGACAUCCCGGAGACCCUUAGGAAACUAGGGGGUGCUUCCAUCUGGAAGAAUCUGGAGACAGGUGCUGCAUGGCUGUCGUCAGCUCGUGUCGUGAGAUGUUGGGUUAAGUCCCGCAACGAGCGCAACCCUUGCCUUUAGUUGCCAGCAGUUCGGCUGGGCACUCUAAAGGGACUGCCGGUGUUAAACCGGAGGAAGGUGGGGAUGACGUCAAGUCCUCAUGGCCUUUAUGACCAGGGCUACACACGUACUACAAUGGCCGAUACAAAGGGCAGCGACACUGCGAGGUGAAGCCAAUCCCGUAAAAUCGGUCUCAGUCCGGAUUGGAGUCUGCAACUCGACUCCAUGAAGUUGGAAUCGCUAGUAAUCGUGGAUCAGCAUGCCACGGUGAAUACGUUCCCGGGCCUU
rnacentral:rRNA from 1 species